rnacentral:rRNA from 1 species
UCUUGGACAAUGGGGGCAACCCUGAUCCAGCGACGCCGCGUGGGUGACGAAGGCCUUCGGGUUGUAAAGCCCUUUUGCCGGGGACGAUGAUGACGGUACCCGGAGAAGAAGCACCGGCUAACUCCGUGCCAGCAGCCGCGGUAAGACGGAGGGUGCUAGCGUUGUUCGGAAUCACUGGGCGUAAAGGGCGCGUAGGCGGCGCCCGAAGUCGGCUGUGAAAGCCCGGGGCUCAACCCCGGAACGGCAGCCGAGACUCGGGCGCUGGAGACCGGGAGAGGAGGGUGGAAUACCCAGUGUAGAGGUGAAAUUCGUAGAUAUUGGGUGGAACACCGGUGGCGAAAGCGGCUCUCUGGCCCGGUUCUGACGCUGAGGCGCGAAAGCGUGGGGAGCAAAC